GGCCACGGCUUGGUGGUAGAGCAGCUGCUUGGAAUGCAGAAGGUCCUAGGUUCAAGCCCUGGCAUCGCCA
rnacentral:tRNA from 1 species